rnacentral:rRNA from 1 species
GACGAACCGUCCUAACGUUGUUCGGAAUUACUGGGCGUAAAGCGCGCGUAGGCGGCUUUGUAAGUUAGAGGUGAAAGCCCGGAGCUCAACUCCGGAAUUGCCUUUAAGACUGCAUCGCUAGAAUCAUGGAGAGGUUAGUGGAAUUCCGAGUGUAGAGGUGAAAUUCGUAGAUAUUCGGAAGAACACCAGUGGCGAAGGCGACUAACUGGACAUGUAUUGACGCUGAGGUGCGAAAGCGUGGGGAGCAAACAGG